AGACCCGAAACCCGGUGAUCUAGCCAUGGGCAGGUUGAAGGUUGGGUAACACUAACUGGAGGACCGAACCGACUAAUGUUGAAAAAUUAGCGGAUGACCUGUGGCUGGGGGUGAAAGGCCAAUCAAACCGGGAGAUAGCUGGUUCUCCCCGAAAGCUAUUUAGGUAGCGCCUCGUGAAUUCAUCUCCGGGGGUAGAGCACUGUUUCGGCUAGGGGGCCAUCCCGGCUUACCAACCCGAUGCAAACUGCGAAUACCGGAGAAUGUUAUCACGGGAGACACACGGCGGGUGCUAACGUCCGUCGUGAAGAGGGAAACAACCCAGACCGCCAGCUAAGGUCCCAAAGUCAUGGUUAAGUGGGAAACGAUGUGGGAAGGCCCAGACAGCCAGGAUGUUGGCUUAGAAGCAGCCAUCAUUUAAAGAAAGCGUAAUAGCUCACUGGUCGAGUCGGCCUGCGCGGAAGAUGUAACGGGGCUAAACCAUGCACCGAAGCUGCGGCAGCGACGCUGAUGCGUUGUUGGGUAGGGGAGCGUUCUGUAAGCCUGUGAAGGUGGCCUGUGAGGGUUGCUGGAGGUAUCAGAAGUGCGAAUGCUGACAUAAGUAACGAUAAAGCGGGUGAAAAGCCCGCUCGCCGGAAGACCAAGGGUUCCUGUCCAACGUUAAUCGGGGCAGGGUGAGUCGACCCCUAAGGCGAGGCCGAAAGGCGUAGUCGAUGGGAAACGGGUUAAUAUUCCCGUACUUGGUGUUACUGCGAAGGGGGGACGGAGAAGGCUAUGUUGGCCGGGCGACGGUUGUCCCGGUUUAAGCGUGUAGGUGUGUGUUCCAGGUAAAUCCGGUUCACUUUAACACUGAGGCGUGACGACGAGGCACUACGGUGCUGAAGCAACAAAUGCCCUGCUUCCAGGAAAAGCCUCUAAGCAUCAGGUAACAUCAAAUCGUACCCCAAACCGACACAGGUGGUCAGGUAGAGAAUACCAAGGCGCUUGAGAGAACUCGGGUGAAGGAACUAGGCAAAAUGGUGCCGUAACUUCGGGAGAAGGCACGCUGACACGUAGGUGAAGUGAUUUACUCAUGGAGCUGAAGUCAGUCGAAGAUACCAGCUGGCUGCAACUGUUUAUUAAAAACACAGCACUGUGCAAACACGAAAGUGGACGUAUACGGUGUGACGCCUGCCCGGUGCCGGAAGGUUAAUUGAUGGGGUCAGCGCAAGCGAAGCUCCUGAUCGAAGCCCCGGUAAACGGCGGCCGUAACUAUAACGGUCCUAAGGUAGCGAAAUUCCUUGUCGGGUAAGUUCCGACCUGCACGAAUGGCGUAAUGAUGGCCAGGCUGUCUCCACCCGAGACUCAGUGAAAUUGAACUCGCUGUGAAGAUGCAGUGUACCCGCGGCAAGACGGAAAGACCCCGUGAACCUUU
rnacentral:rRNA from 1 species